ensembl:lncRNA
AUCUCUAUCUGGAGAUCACCUCUCUUGGAGCCCUUCUAUGAGCCUAGGACAUGGGAAUAUGAUUGACUGGGACACAGUAUAUUACUACUAUCAAGAAAAUGUGGAAGUAACUGUGUGCUAAGAACACUGUUAAAGAAGAACAAUUCAAAGUAUUUUUAAAGAACCAUGAAUUUUAAUCUAUAUAAUCCAUAUAACUGAAGAGAAACUACAAAACUGAUAAAUUCAUGCAGUCCUUCCAGGGAUAAAAAGGAGCUAUGUAGAUGGUGAUACAUCUUCUGAUAAUGCUGGCAAGCUCAUUAGUGUACAGUGAUAUCCAUUAUAUAGAACAUCAUAAAGAUGAAAGCUAUUAAAUGAGAAAAUGGUUUUGAGUUCUCUUGUAGUAAAGGAACUGUGAUUUAUUACUCAUAUUGAUAUAAGUAAAAUGAAGGGUAAGUUGUACUCAUGAUGCAUAGAGGGGAAGUUCUAAGCCUUGCAUAAGUAUCAGUCAGCACUCUGCCAGCUGCUUCAACAAUAGAGUGACCGUACCAUCCAGAGAGUAGUUUCAACCUUAGCAGGUUUGCUGUCUCUAAUAGUCUUGCACUGAGCAGGAUAAAAAUGCAACAAAUGAACAAAGGAAUGUGCUAGUAAAUGGGAUGGCACAGAUGACAUCAGCAACCACAUGACGAUGUGGUAUGGUAUGAAAAGGUUCAUACUUUAAAGAGCCUGAAAAAUUGUCAGUGCCCUACAAGAGCUGUAAAUACAAAAAUUUGUGAAGUUAAAUUAGUCUGAUGCUAUUUUCUCUAAUCAAGAAAUCAAGUUUUUGUCCUUAUUACUUCCUUAAUAUCCUUCUGUUUCUACUCUGGAAUGCGUUGUAGUGAUUAAAUAUCACCAGAUUGCUAUUGUCUUUCUUUUAAUUUGCUUUUGCCAUCAGAAUCAGACAUAUUUUCUGCAGAAUGACCUUGCUAUUCCUCUCUGAGUUCCUGUAGGAAGCAUCUGGUACUCAGAUUCUCAUCUUCUGCUGUGAUGUACUAUAUCCUCCUUUCUAUCAUGUCAGAUACUUGCAAACUGUGCUUUUUAUUACCUGUCUAUUUUUCCAAAUGAUCACUAUCUCAAGAAAUGGAGCAGUAAUCUACAGCAACUAUGCAAUACUUGUCACUCAAUAUGAUGUUACCUUUUCUCAGUAUCAGGUCUAGAAUUUCUGAGGGUUGUAAAGCCUUCUUUAUCCAGUCUGUUUCCAUUUCACGCACAUUAUUAUAGGCUAUACAUAUAUAGCAAGUGAGCUGUCAAACUUCACCAGUAGUAUCAUUCUCUGUGUUUAAGUUUCAGCUGACCUUCUUUCCCCAGGUAUAUAGGCUUUAUUCAGCUUGUGACACUACCUUUAAAAUCUCCUGGGAUUGUUGCUUAAAACUCACUUAAUCAAAAUUCAGUCUUGCACAUGUCUAUAUCUUUCCAUCACGCUUUAUUAGGAAAAUGAUCCUCUGUUACUUCCUCCUUGUGAUAUGAUAAAUACAGAACUACUAAAGACUGUUACACAUGUUGUCAGUAGUCACCUGUGUGCCAUUUAGGAAGUUUCAUCUUGCUUGAUGUAUGUGGCAUCUUUUUUUGACUGUUCUGUUGUCUUAUUCUCACAUUGCCAUAUUGUGAGUCAUACAGAAGUGUAUAGUCAUCAGCAGCACUUCUAAAAAAGUGCCAUUAGAGGUUUUCUAAUGGCUCAUUAUCAGACUGCUUAUCCAUCCCCUUUAAUUGUAGAAUCAUUCAAUUCAAAAAAAAAAAAAAAAAACAAAUCACAUUCAGAAGCUUCUUUAAUGGCUGAGUGUUUUCUCCUCUUUAGCUGUCAAGGGUCUCAGCAGCACGGGCUUCUAGCUGUGCUUCAAUACUCUACAGAAGCAUACUUACGAUCUUAUUAAAGCAGCUUUUCUCUGUAUGGACAUAGUUAACAGUUCUCUUCACUCUGUCAAAUGCCUUCUUGUGGGUUUUUGAACAUUUUUCAUGCUGUUUCAGUGUGCACACAUUCUUUCAAAGACUCACAGUCCACAACAGCAAAGGAACAAACGCAAAGGGAGAGCUCACUGCCCUUAGAAAUCUUUGACCACCCUGUACCUUCCUUAGUCUUAGAGGGCACAAUAUUCACUAAUUCCUCCACACAUGACAGAACUGCUAACAGACAUGUACAGACUGUGUAUGCAUAUGCAUACAAACUGAUCUGAACCCACAUCCUUCUGUUCUCCUUGUCUGGAUCCAUGCUGGUAGAUGUGGUUUUCAAGAGGCAGGCCUCUGCUAUGCCCAAACUCUCCAAGGUUUUGCUGCUGCUAUGUAAUUUUUCUAGUCUGUUGUCACACUCAACUUGCUAUAAAUGUUGCUUGAAUGUAGAAAAUUGAAAUGAGUGAUUUGCAAUUCAAGAUUUCUAGAAUUUGAGUAGGCAUAAAAAUGUAAAAAGUUAUAGGAUUCUGAUGUAUAAACUUUAUUUACAAAUGUGAGUUUUCUCUACAGAGAGUAGAGGAAAUUUUGUUCUCUUAGAUUUUGUAAAUAUCUUACCUUCAAUGUUAUUUUAAACUGUCUCAAUUGUUUCUUCACAGUUGAUUCUUUUGUAACAGUGAUCUUUUCUGUAAUCAUGAAUGUACUUGUUUUCUU